AUGCUCCAGAGGCUGGGCCUGCGCGGGAGCCCCAGCGCCGCGGCGGGCGACGCGGCGGCCGCCUCCCCCGCCUCCUCCCCCGCGGCGCCCGCCGCGGCGGGGGGCCUGGGCCGCCCGCUGCGGCUCGUCUACUGCGACGACAAGGGCAAGUUCGUCAUGGACCCGGAGGCCGUCGCCGCGCUGCAGCUCGUCAAGGGCCCCGUCGGGGUCGUCUCCGUCUGCGGCCGCGCGCGCCAGGGCAAGAGCUUCGUCCUCAACCAGCUUCUAGGGCGAAGCAGUGGUUUUCAAGUUGCAUCGACACAUAAACCUUGCACCAAGGGACUUUGGAUGUGGAGUGCACCUUUGAAGAGGACUGGUCUUGAUGGAACUGAAUACAAUCUUGUAUUGUUGGACACUGAAGGCAUUGAUGCUUAUGACCAAACGGGCACCUACAGUAUCCAAAUAUUUUCGUUGGCUGUUCUGUUAUCAAGCAUGUUCAUAUACAACCAGAUGGGAGGGAUAGAUGAAGCCUCAAUUGACCGCCUUUCACUAGUCACAGAAAUGACAAAGCACAUACGGGUUAGGGCCUCAGGUGGAAGGUCCAGUGCCUCUGAACUUGGGCACUUCUCACCUGUCUUUGUUUGGCUGUUGAGGGACUUCUACUUGGAUCUGUCUGAAGACAACAGAAAAAUUACACCAAGAGAUUACCUUGAACUAGCUCUAAGGCCUGUUCAAAGUGGCGGAAGAGAUGUAUCUUCUAAGAACGCGAUACGGGAGUCAAUCCGCGCUCUUUUUCCAGACAGGGAAUGCUUUACACUUGUGCGACCUGUGAACAAUGAGAAAGAUCUCCAGCGCCUUGAUCAACUUCCUAUGAAUACAUUUCGUCCAGAGUUUACAUCUGGCCUGGAUGCUUUCACAAAAUUUGUGUUUGAUCGCACAAGACCUAAACAACUUGGAGCUAGUACCAUGACAGGCCCCAUCCUUGCUGGGUUGACACAAUCAUUUCUUGAUGCGAUUAAUACUGGUGCAGUCCCGACAAUAUCUUCUUCAUGGCAGAGUGUGGAGGAAGCCGAAUGUCGUAGGGCAUAUGAUUCUGCUGUGGAUACUUACAAUUCUUCUUUUGACUGCAAAAAACCAGCAGAAGAGGAUGCUUUGCAAGAAGCACAUGAACGUGCAAUGAACAAGGCCAUUAGUGUUUUUAAUGCCUCUGCUUUUGGUGCUGGGUCAGCUCGUUCUAAAUUUGAAAAGCUUCUUCAGACUACUCUAAGGAAGAGAUUUGAGGAUUUUAAAAGGAAUGCUUUUCUGGAGGCCGACUUGCAAUGUUCAAAUAAAAUACAGAGCAUGGAGUCAAAAGUGCGGGCAGCAUGUAACCGUCCUGAUUCAAAGUUGGAUGAUGUAGUCAGGAUCCUCGAUGGCCUCCUCAUGGAGUAUGAGGCGACUUCUUAUGGGCCGAAGAAAUGGACAAAGCUCGUUACAUUUCUGCAUCAGUGUUUGGCGGGCCCAAUGCUAGACCUUUUCAGAAAACAAUUGGAGCAUAUAGAUGCUGAAAGGAAUGCCCUGAGACUGAAAUGCAGUUCAAGCGAUGAUAAGGUAUCAUUGCUCAGGAAGCAACUAGAGGCAAGUGAGGGGCACAGAGCUGAGUAUUUAAGGCGCUAUGAGGAAACUAUCAAUGAUAAGCAGAAAAUGUCAAAGGAUUACUCUGUUCGAAUAGCUGAACUUCAAAACAAGGUUAGCAAGUUGGAUGAACGCUGUCAGAGCUUGUCUUCUGCUCUUGAACAAGCAAAACGAGAAUGUGCUGAUUGGAAGAGCAAAUACGAUCACUGCAUUUCACAGCAGAAGGCAGAUGAAAGCAAGUUAAAAUCCCUGAUUGCUUCUCUGGAAUCUCGGGUAAGCAUCAGUGAGGGCAGAUUAUCUGCUGUACGAGAGCAGGCUGAAUCUGCUCAAGAGGAAGCUUCUGAGUGGAAACGUAAAUAUGAAUAUGCUGCCAAUGAGGCCAAAACAGCUCUUGAGAGAGCAGCUUCAGCACAGGAACGCACAAAUAAGAAAGUGCAAGAAAGGGAAGAUGCUUUGAGGGCAGAACUUGCUACCCAGCUGCACGAGAAGGAAGAACUGAUAGCUACAUUGAAUGCAAAAAUCAACCAAACUGAAGUUCACAAGACAAGUUUGAUGUCGAGGCUUGAGGUUACUGAAGCAAAGUUGAAGAACCACGAGUCAGAUUCAGUGGCUCUGAAGGGAGAAAUCAGAUCAUUGACUGAUAACUUGGAGUCUAUUAAAACUGAAGCUCAGUCCCGUGAGAAGGAAGUGAGGAUCCUGGAACAAGAAAAGAACCAUCUUCAGGAGAAGUUCCUAUCUGAGUGCAAAAAGUUUGAUGAGGCCGACAUGAGGUGCAAGGAUGCUGAAAGGGAGGCUAAACGAGCAGUCGAGUUGGCUGAUUUAGCUCGUGUAGAAGCUGCUGCUGCUCAGAGAGACAAGGGUGAAGCUCAGCGACUAGCAAUGGAGAGACUCACUUUGAUAGAAAGAAUGGAGCGACAGGUUGAAACUCUAGAGCGCGAGAAAAGUAAGAUGGUGGAAGAAAUGGAGCGGCUUCAUCAGUCUGAGUUGGAUGCUCUAUCCAAGGUCAGGAUGCUUGACGAGAGGGUUGAUGAGAGGGAAAAGCAGAUUGGGGAGAUGUUGGAACAGAACAACCAGCAGAGAUCCAACACGGUCCAAGUGCUUGAGAGUCUGCUGGCAACAGAGCGUGAAGCUUGCGCUGAAGCCAAUAAGAGAGCCGAGGCCCUGUCACUGCAGCUGCAGUCAACCCAAGGCAAGCUGGACAUGCUCCAGCAGGAGCUCACCUCUGUUCGGCUCAACGAAACUGCACUUGACAGCAAGGUGAAGGCCUCCUACUCUAGGCGCACGAGGGGCGAAGCCACCGAGUCCGUCCAUUACAUGGACGUCGACGACGACGACACCGGGAGGCGAAGGAAAAGGUCGAAGAGCACAACGAGCCCGUUCAAGAACAAUCACACGGAGGAUGGCGGAUCCGUGUUCUUCGGAGAGGACACGAACAACGGGAGCCAGCAGCUGGAGGGGACGGAGACCGAGACCGAGGACUACACCAAGUUCACGGUGCUGAAGCUGAAGCAGGAGCUGACCAAGCAGGGGUUCGGCGCCCAGCUGCUGCAGCUGAAGAACCCCAACAAGAAGGACAUCGUCGCCUUGUAUGAGAAGCACGUCGUUGGCGGCGCUUGA
rnacentral:rRNA from 1 species